rnacentral:rRNA from 1 species
UACAGAGGUCUCAAGCGUUGUUCGGAUUCAUUGGGCGUAAAGGGUGCGUAGGUGGCGCGUUAAGUCAGGUGUGAAAUUUCGGAGCUUAACUCCGAAACUGCAUUUGAUACUGGCGUGCUUGAGGACUGGAGAGGAGACUGGAAUUCAUGGUGUAGCAGUGAAAUGCGUAGAGAUCAUGAGGAAGACCAGUGGCGAAGGCGGGUCUCUGGGCCGAUACUGACGCUGAGGAGCGAAAGCGUGGGGAGCGAACAGG